GGCCUGAUGGUCUAGUCGUAUGAUUCCUGCUUUGGGUGCAGGAGGCCCCGGGUUCAAAUCCCGGUCAGGCCC
rnacentral:tRNA from 1 species